rnacentral:rRNA from 1 species
AUUGAACGCUGGCGGCAGGCCUAACACAUGCAAGUCGAGCGGAUGAAGGGAGCUUGCUCCUGGAUUCAGCGGCGGACGGGUGAGUAAUGCCUAGGAAUCUGCCUGGUAGUGGGGGAUAACGUCCGGAAACGGGCGCUAAUACCGCAUACGUCCUGAGGGAGAAAGUGGGGGAUCUUCGGACCUCACGCUAUCAGAUGAGCCUAGGUCGGAUUAGCUAGUUGGUGGGGUAAAGGCCUACCAAGGCGACGAUCCGUAACUGGUCUGAGAGGAUGAUCAGUCACACUGGAACUGAGACACGGUCCAGACUCCUACGGGAGGCAGCAGUUGGGAAUAUUGGACAAUGGGCGAAAGCCUGAUCCAGCCAUGCCGCGUGUGUGAAGAAGGUCUUCGGAUUGUAAAGCACUUUAAGUUGGGAGGAAGGGCAGUAAGUUAAUACCUUGCUAUUUUGACGUUACCAACAGAAUAAGCACCGGCUAACUUCGUG